rfam:Gossypium hirsutum cultivar TM-1 chromosome 25, whole genome shotgun sequence
AUUCCGUGAUGAGGGCACUUUUGUAAUAAUUCUUUGUACCUUUCCCAUGCCUCAUACCAUCAUCCAUUUGUUGGAAAGCAAUGAUCUCAUUCUUCAAUUU